CCGUUGCGGGGACCCUGAGACCCUCGAGCACCUGCUCUGUGCCUGCCCUGGUUUGGCACAGGAACGCUCGAGGGUCACCACGGCCUACAGGAGACAGGGCCUACCUGCCUCCACACUGGAGCAUUUCCUCUACCCGUCCCGCCCUCAUCUACCAGCGCUCCGGAGCCUGGCGGAGUUCCUGGAGGAGACGGGUAUAGCGGCCUACCGCUGAGCCCAUGAGCCAUGCAGCU
rnacentral:lncRNA from 1 species